AAAGAUAUAGCAUAUAAUAAUGCCUUUUAUUUACACUAAAAAAAAAAUUAAAUUUAUCUUAA
rnacentral:tRNA from 1 species